UGGGGAAUUUUACACAAUGGGCGCAAGCCUGAUGUAGCAACGCCGCGUGGAGGAUGAAGGAUUUAGGUCUGUAAACUCCUUUUAUAAGGGAAGAAAUUUGACGGUACCUUAUGAAUAAGCACCGGCUAACUCCGUGCCAGCAGCCGCGGUAAUACGGGGGGUGCAAGCGUUACUCGGAAUCACUGGGCGUAAAGGGAGCGUAGGCGUUCUAUUAAGUCUUGAGUGAAAGCCUGCAGCCUAACUGCAGAACUGCUUGGGAAACUGAUAGAAUUGAGUAUGGAAGAGGUCAGUGGAAUUUCCGGUGUAGGGGUAAAAUCCGUAGAUAUCGGAAGGAAUACCAGAAGCGAAGGCGACUGACUGGGACAUUACUGACGCUGAGGCUCGAAAGCGUGGGGAGCAAACA
rnacentral:rRNA from 1 species